rnacentral:rRNA from 1 species
GACGAACGCUGGCGGCGUGGAUUAGGCAUGCAAGUCGAACGGUAUCAUCCUUUCGGGGGUGAGAGAGUGGCGAACUGGUGAGUAACACGUAGGUUAUCUACCCUCAAGACGGGGACAACCCAGGGAAACUUGGGCUAAUACCGGAUGUGAGCAACUUUUAGUUGUUUGAAAGGUGGCGUAAGCUGUCGCUUGGGGAUGAGCCUGCGUCCUAUUAGUUAGUUGGUGAGGUAACGGCUCACCUAGGCAAUGAUAGGUAGGCGGCCUUAACGGGUGGUCGCCCACACUGGGAUUGAGAUACGGCCCAGACUCCUACGGGAGGCAGCAGCCGAGAAUAGUCUACAAUGGUCGGAAGACUGAUAGUGCGACGCCGCGUGAACGAUGAAUCCCUUCGGGGUGUAGAGUUCUUUUAUAUGUGAGCAGUGCUUCUUAUAUUAACAGUAUGGGGAGAGAGAUAUUAGCAUAUGAAUAAGCAACGGCUAACUCCGUG